UUGAAUAAAUGACAAUUCUCAUUACCUAAUAGAAAGUAUUAAAAUGCAGUCUUUGCUUACAGUUAAUAUUUUCUUCAUAUGAUUUUUCUUUUUACCAUGGAACCAUCUGUUUCAAAGGAGAUGUGACUGGCAUACUCCGAUAAUGUAAUUUUAUUCUCCCCUCACAAAGUCCCAUUCCACCCUACAGCUAUUUACUGGAAAUUCUUCCUAACAUUUAGAUUUUCAGGGGUCACUUUUUCACUUCUUUGACUUUUAGGUACUACUGUAUUCAAUGAUGAUCUCUCUAGUGGGCCAUAACUUUCUGGAAGGCAUCCAAUUAGUGCUUCUGAAAACAGUCUUAAAGGCUCAGUUUGGAUGGCACGCUAAGUGAUUACUCUGUCACCUAGAGCUAUCUGCCUAGAAAAGGUGAUCCAUAUCUAAGCAGGGCAUGAAGGUGAGAGCAGCUAUAAUCCCCAAAAGGUUAGCUUAUUUUUCAGGUUUCUUUUGCUUUUACCUAAAAAAGUUUAGUACCACCAAAUAACAUUUAAGAAAUUCAGAAACUGGAUGAAUUGCAGUAGAGCUUGAUGAAAGUUUCUGAGAGAAUCUAAAAGCUAAUUACUAAAUUCCAGCUGCCUGAUAAACUCUCAACAUAAGUAGAAUUGGCAACUUCCUGUCAAGAAUUUUGUGAAUGUGAGAACACUCCCCUUACAAACAAGUACCAGACUCUUCUACAUCUACAGCAGGACAAUUCUUACCACGAGAGUACUUUUGGCUUUAACAUGGAAAUUCUGAACUGAAUAAUUCAGGGGUGGCAUUAACUGCCUAUCCUCUUCUGUGGCAGGCUAUUUAUUUAGAAGCUCUACUUAUUAUUAAGCUCUACUUAUUAUUGGAGAAGCUCUACUCCAUAACUUUCUGGGAGAACCAAAGGACCAAUUCUCUUUAGCCACUAGUAACCACCCCCGCCCCCCCCCGCCCCACUUUUAGAUAUACAAGAUUCUCAGGUGAUUUCUAAGAAUCAGGGAAACAAAGAAUACCUUUUACACGGCUCUGUACUCUACAGAAAUGACUAAAAAAUACUAAUCUACAGAUUCUUGAAUGCAGUGACACCUAAGUAUGGUACACAAAUUAUAUAUAAAAAUAAAUCUACACUAGGACAAGUGACAGUGAAACUGCAGAACAUCAAAGGCAAAGAGAUUUUAUAAAUAGUCACAGUUAAAAUAAUAGUUGACUUCUCAAGAGCUACAAUGGAAGUCAGAAGACAGUAGGAUCAUAGUUUUCAAAGCACUGAAUGGAAAUAACUGCCAACCUAGAAUUCCAUACUCAUUGAAAUAUGCCCAUUUUCUGAUGAUUAGUUUGAAAUAGUGACAUUUUCAGAUAACCAAUAGACCCUCACUAAAGGAAAUUCUAAAGGAUGGAGUUUAGGCUAAAGGAAAGUGAUCCAGGUACAAUAAUAAUCAUAUAAGAAAUUGUGAAGACUAUUUUCAAGGUUCAUUUCUAUAGUUCACUACUGGAGAAGUUUCUCUGAACAUGUGGAACACCAGGAAACAUGAGGAAGAAGCACAGCAUUCUCUCCUAAAUGUGAAGCCAGCUGUUGGUGUUGCUUUGCUAUAACUGCUAUUUGCCAUUGAUGAUUAUUUUCCUCUUCUUCCCAGAGAGUAAGAGGGAGAGGAUGCAGUCUGUGUGGUUCCCAUUAAAAAGAAAGAAAAAGAAAGGAAGGAAGGAAGGAAGAAAGAAAAAAUUUUUGGAUAGAAUAACAAAGCGAUAACAAAGAAAGAUAAAUAAAAAAAAGAAUUGCUCUUCUUUGUGAAAAUGUGAUGCUCUCUGAGUUAAAACGUUACCUCUAAAGUCUCUGUAAAAUGCAAACAUGCUAUAAAAAAGGGAUGACGUAUGACGUCAUUAACAUUUCUGAUAUAGUGUGUAUUCUAAUAUAGAAAGUGUGUUCUCGACCAGGCGCGGUGGCUCACUCCUGUAAUCCCAGCACAUUGGGAGGCCGAGGCAGGUGGAUCACCUGAGGUCAGGAGUUCGAGACCAACCUGGCCAACUUGGCAAAACCCCGUCUCUACUAAAAA
rnacentral:lncRNA from 10 species